rnacentral:rRNA from 1 species
UCCAACUUGAGAGUUUGAUCCUGGCUCAGAGCGAACGCUGGCGGCAGGCCUAACACAUGCAAGUCGAGCGGCCGUAGCAAUACGGCAGCGGCAGACGGGAGAGUAACACGUGGGAACGCGCCCUUUGGUUCGGAAUAACUCAGGGAAACUUGAGCUAAUACCGGAUAAGCCCUUACGGGGAAAGAUUUAUCGCCAAAGGAACGGCCCGCGUCCGAUUAGCUAGUUGGUGAGGUAACGGCUCACCAAGGCGACGAUCGGUAGCUGGUCUGAGAGGAUGACCAGCCUCACUGGGACUGAGACACGGCCCAGACUCCUACGGGAGGCAGCAGUGGGGAAUAUUGGACAAUGGGCGCAAGCCUGAUCCAGCCAUGCCGCGUGAGUGAUGAAGGCCUUAGGGUUGUAAAGCUCUUUUAGCAGGGAAGAUAAUGACGGUACCUGCAGAAAAAGCCCCGGCUAACUUCGUGCCAGCAGCCGCGGUAAUACGAAGGGGGCUAGCGUUGCUCGGAAUUACUGGGCGUAAAGCGCACGUAGGCGGCUUCUUAAGUCGGUGGUGAAAUCCUGGAGCUCAACUCCAGAACUGCCUUCGAUACUGGGAAGCUCGAGUUCGGGAGAGGUGAGUGGAACUGCGAGUGUAGAGGUGAAAUUCGUAGAUAUUCGCAAGAACACCAGUGGCGAAGGCGGCUCACUGGCCCGAUACUGACGCUGAGG